GGGCUCAACCCCUGAACUGCAUUUGAAACUGUGGUUCUUGAGUGAUGGAGAGGCAGGCGGAAUUCCCAGUGUAGCGGUGAAAUGCGUAGAUAUUGGGAGGAACACCAGUGGCGAAGGCGGCCUGCUGGACAUUAACUGACGCUGAGGCGCGAAAGCGUGGGGAGCAAACAGGAUUAGAUACCCUGGUAGUCCACGCUGUAAACGAUGGAUACUAGGUGUGGGGGGUCUGACCCCUUCCGUGCCGCAGUUAACACAAUAAGUAUCCCACCUGGGGAGUACGAUCGCAAGGUUGAAACUCAAAGGAAUUGACGGGGGCCCGCACAAGCAGUGGAGUAUGUGGUUUAAUUCGAAGCAACGCGAAGAACCUUACCAGGAUUUGACAUCCAACUAACGAGGCAGAGAUGCGUUAGGUGCCCUUCGGGGAAAGUUGAGACAGGUGGUGCAUGGUUGUCGUCAGCUCGUGUCGUGAGAUGUUGGGUUAAGUCCCGCAACGAGCGCAACCCUUAUUGCUAGUUGCUACGCAAGAGCACUCUAGCGAGACUGCCGUUGACAAAACGGAGGAAGGCGGGGACGACGUCAAAUCAUCAUGCCCCUUAUGUCCUGGGCUACACACGUACUACAAUGGCGGUUAACAAAGGGAGGCAAGACAGCGAUGUGGAGCGAAUCCCAAAAAACCGUCUCAGUUCGGAUCGCAGGCUGCAACCCGCCUGCGUGAAGUCGGAAUUGCUAGUAAUCGCGGAUCAGCAUGCCGCGGUGAAUACGUU
rnacentral:rRNA from 1 species